CUGCCUGCUUCUGACAAUAAAAAGCUUCCACCUCGAAGCAGUGAGGACGUGGGGCUCAGGGAGCAGAGCCUGUGCUUCUGGGAAGGGCAGGCGGAAGAGGCCACCUCCCCCUUCAAAGGCUGCCAGAGCCUCAGACUCUGACUCAGGCCAACCCUCAACAUCCAGUUGAAAAGUUCAGCUAUCGUGGUUUGCGUUUCAUGACGGACGGGUGUCUUGGGAGAUGUUUGCCUGUUGGGAAGAAAAGCUAUGGAAACUCAAGAAUUCGGGUCUGCUGAUCCAGCCACUGCUCCUCCGCUCCUGUGUUGCAUUAUCUUCGUCUGCCCUUGAACAGUUGAUGAUUUGGGGCAGGGGAGAGAGAAAGGUGAUAGUCACCUUUUUAAAAUCAGCCCCGCUUUGGCUGUGAGGACGGAAGACUGUGAAGAUCAGAGCAAGUCCAUAUUCCAAGUCUUCAAUGGGCCACGUCCUUUGAACAUGAAAGCCCCAGCGGAGGCUCUCCAAGGCAUGGGAUCACUUAAGUGAUGGUCAUCCUGGGCCCAGGUCCAGCUGUGAACAAAGUUAAAGAUUUCAAGGCUCGAGUAUUUAUGAGAAUGGGACAUUUAACGACACCUCGCAUUGCCAAACACAUGCUGAAGACCAGAAGCGCGAGGAGACCGAGCAGCUUUGGUUUUCCUCCAGAUGCCAUCCAGCGCUCCGCCUAGAGAACCCUGCCUUCCCUUCCUUGUUGCCCACAGUAGGACUAACUGAGCAAUGUCACUCAAAAAAAAAAAAGUCAGUUUCUUAGACACCCGCUGUAGCAGCUGGCAGCCUCUGCUGUGGUGUUUCACAGAGAGACACAGACCGUGUGAGCAGGGAUCCGUCCUGCUGCCCGACGUCAGCCCCUCGCAGUGACCCUUCCAACACCUGGUCGUUCCAGGAGGCCGCGCCAGGAGUGGCUUCUGUUCCGCUUUGCUUUCCUGAACAGGUUGCGGGGAAGCCUCGGACUUCUCAGACCUGGGCCGAAUGGUUGGGCUCAGCAUGGCAGAGAGGAGGCAGGCCUUUACCACUCCCCAGCGGCUCUUUCCAGCCCGUACAAAGCCCUGCAGCCUGUGACCGCAGGUAUCACAGUUGAAAAGUGGUGAAGAACGAAUUAAUAAAACAGGAGGAAUACACAAAAGUGCUCUAAAGUUGGCUUGCUCAUGAGGUGGUAGCGAAAACUCAAGCAUAUGAGACGCCUGGAGUGCUUCUGAGGGUCAGAGGAAACAUCUCCAAACACAGUUAUUUUAUCAAAAUGGUUUGGCCCAUUUCUAACUAAUGGAUCUUGAACAAGAUAAACAAGGUUCCACGGUGGCCUGCGAAGUCGCCGGAUGUUUGGUUCCUCCCUCCAAUUUUCUCUCCUUAUCUUUGUUGCCCUCGCAAAGCCCUGCCUGUGUCUGGGAAAACGGUUCCAUGAAACUCGGUCAACUGCUGGCUAAAAUGUUUCCUUGGCGCACGGUGCGUCUGGCACCUCAGACAUCUGGAAACUCUCCGAGUUCCUGGGUCUCGGGCGGAGGGUCAGCUGCUGUCCCUGGAGAUGUCCCGAGCGAGGGCAGCUUCGGGGGAUGGAG